AACGAACGCUGGCGGCAGGCCUAACACAUGCAAGUCGAGCGAACACUCCGGGCCUAUCCGCGGCCGGGGGUGUCACGCGUGGGGACGUGCCCUUGUCUUCGGAAUACCCCUGGGAAACUGGGAAUAAUACCGGACGAGCCCUAUUGGCGAAAGAUAUAUUGGCGAAGGAUCGGCCAGCGUUGGAUUAGGUAGUUGGUUGGGUAAUCGCCUACCACGCCGCCGAUCCAUAGCUUGGUUGAGAGGAUGAUCAGCCACACUGGGACUGAGACCCGGCCCGGACUCCUACGGGAGGCAGCAGUGGGGAAUCUUAGAAAAUGGGGGGAACGCUGAUCUAGCCAUGCCGCGUGAGCGAUGAAGGCAUUAGGGUUGUAAAGCGCUUUCAGCUGGGAAGAUAAUGACGGUACCAGCAGAAGAAGCCCCGGCUAACUACGUG
rnacentral:rRNA from 1 species